AGAGGUUUAAGAGUCCGUAAGAGGCAGUGACGUGUUCGAUAUCUAUUGGGUGAGAAAAAAAUUAUUUGUUUUGCUUCUUUCUCUUCCUCCUCUCUCUCUUAUGCGGCGCUUUCUCUCUUUCUCAACUCUCUGUAUCGACUCUUUCUUAUUGAGAAUCUGAGUAGAAUCAAGCUGCUUUAGCCAGAUUCUUAUAAACCCUAAUCCAAUUCCCUAAUUCUCCGUUUCUCCCUCAAUGUUCUGUUUUGCGGUUAAAAACGCAUCUUUACUGAGAACUCGAAUUGGCUCCUUUUCAAUCCAACCAAAUUCGGUCCAACCUCCUUGAUUUGUCUGCUCAGUCCAGUUUCUUGAACGGUUUAAUCUUUAUCCUUGUUUUCUGCUUCUAUUGGUUAAAUUUAGAGUUUUGAUUGCUUAGUUUAUGUCAUUGAGCAAAAGGGUCAUUGAGUAAUCUCGAGAAUUGGUAAAUUUAGAUUGGAUUUAAUAUGAAUUUGAGGGUUUUUUAUAAUUUGGAAUGUUAUGGUUGGUGAAAUUUAAAGACAUGUAUGCUAAUGUUUAGAGAGAGUUUGUUUUUCUUGUCCUGUAACUUCAAUUUGAUUGUGGUUGUCUUCAAUUUUAGCUUUCGUAGUGAAUGUGAUAUAGCCAUUCACUAACUAAUGAAGCAAAGAGAUUGUUGUUGUCUUGCAUCUGUGACCCAUAUCUCGUUGUCUUCUUCGAACCAAAGGCUGCAUAUUGUAAGCGUGAAGAAAGGAAACUUGAGGCAGCUUGAAGGAGACAAGACACAAAAUCUUUGUUUCUGAAUGUGUUUAUCAACACUUAAACACCAAAUUUUUGUCCUGAAUGUGAUUUGAUUUGAAUGACACAAAAUCUCUGUCCUGAAUGUGAUUUGAAUGAUAGUUUUGAAUCUCUUUGCUUAUA